rnacentral:rRNA from 1 species
AUGCUUACAGUACAACAGCUUUCACCAACAGUGACUGAUGUUCAUGAACUCCAGAAGAAUGGGCAAUAUGUAGGGUUCCACCAAGGUUCCUAUAUAGAGGGUCUACUGCUGGAUAUUGGUUUUCAUACAUCAAAAAUCAGGCCCUAUGCUACACCUGACGAUUUCUAUAGUGCUCUUUCUAAUGGAAGCAUUGCUGCGCUUGUACAUGAAGUCCCAUACAUCAAAUUUUUUCUCGCAAAAUACAGCAAAGGUUACACAAUGGUAGCGCCUAUUUACAAGAGUGUAGGAUUUGCAUUUGCGCUUCCCAGGAAUUCUCCGCUAGCUCCUGAAAUGUCGAGGGCAAUAGUCAACAUAACAGAAGGAGAUACUAUCAUUCAAUUUGAAAAGAAAUGGAUAGGUCAAAAUAGCCAUGAAAAUGAUGGCACACUUGACGGUUCAGACGCCAUAACUUUUGAAAGUUUUGGGGGAUUAUUCGCUCUAACUGGAAUUGUGACAACCUAUUGCCUUUUGGUAGACAUGGUGAUGAGCUGCUACAAAAAAUGUCGACAAAAUGCAGGGAACAUAGGAGAGGUGGCCAAAAUGAAUGUGGGCAUGGGCAAAAAGAAGAGGAAACGGGAGAACAAAGGAUAUGACCAAAGGGAGUAUGGACAUGGGCAAAGGAAAAAUAGGAAAUGGAAGAGCAAAGAGAUCAAAAGAGCAAUGGAAACGGGAACUGAAUUGAUAGGGAGCCAAACAACACUGUCAGAAAUCGUCACCAGCUACCCAUGUCAGUGC